rnacentral:rRNA from 1 species
CCUACGGGCGGCAGCAGUGGGGAAUAUUGCACAAUGGGGGAAACCCUGAUGCAGCGACGCCGCGUGAGUGAAGAAGUAUUUGGGUAUGUAAAGCUCUAUCAGCAGGGAAGAAAAUGACGGUACCUGAUUAAGAAGCCCCGGCUAACUACGUGCCAGCAGCCGCGGUAAUACGGAGGAUGCGAGCGUUAUCCGGAUUUAUUGGGUUUAAAGGGAGCGUAGACGGUUAUGUAAGUCUGGAGUGAAAGCCCGGGGCCCAACCCCGGGACUGCUUUGGAAACUGUGUAACUGGAGUACAGGAGGGGCAGGCGGAAUUCCUGGUGUAGCGGUGAAAUGCGUAGAUAUCAGGAGGAACACCGGCGGCGAAGGCGGCCUGCUGGACUGAAACUGACGUUGAGGCUCGAAAGCGUGGGGAGCAAACAGGAUUAGAUACCCUUGUAGUC